rnacentral:rRNA from 1 species
GACGAACGCUGGCGGCGUGCUUAACACAUGCAAGUCGAACGAAGAGCGAUGGAAGCUUGCUUCUAUCAAUCUUAGUGGCGAACGGGUGAGUAACGCGUAAUCAACCUGCCCUUCAGAGGGGGACAACAGUUGGAAACGACUGCUAAUACCGCAUACGAUCUAAUCUCGGCAUCGAGGAUAGAUGAAAGGUGGCCUCUACAUGUAAGCUAUCACUGAAGGAGGGGAUUGCGUCUGAUUAGCUAGUUGGAGGGGUAACGGCCCACCAAGGCGAUGAUCAGUAGCCGGUCUGAGAGGAUGAACGGCCACAUUGGGAAUGAGACACGGCCCAGACUCCUACGGGAGGCAGCAGUGGGGAAUCUUCCGCAAUGGACGAAAGUCUGACGGAGAAACGCCGCGUGAGUGAUGACGGCCUUCGGGUUGUAAAGCUCUGUUAAUCGGGACGAAAGGCCUUCUUGCGAAUAGUGAGAAGGAUUGACGGUACCGGAAUAGAAAGCCACGGCUAACUACGUG